rnacentral:rRNA from 1 species
GGUAGUCCACGCCGUAAACGAUGAGUGCUAAGUGGUUAGGGGGUUUCCGCCCCUUAGUGCUGGCAGCUAACGCAUUAAGCACUCCGCCUGGGGAGUACGGUCGCAAGACUGAAACUCAAAGGAAUUGACGGGGGCCCGCACAAGCGGUGGAGCAUGUGGUUUAAUUCGAAGCAACGCGAAGAACCUUACCAGGUCUUGACAUCCCGUUGACCACUGUAGAGAUAUAGUUUCCCCUUCGGGGGCAACGGUGACAGGUGGUGCAUGGUUGUCGUCAGCUCGUGUCGUGAGAUGUUGGGUUAAGUCCCGCAACGAGCGCAACCCUUGAUCUUAGUUGCCAUCAUUUAGUUGGGCACUCUAAGGUGACUGCCGGUGA